UGCCACAGCCGUAUCACCCUGCAGCCAAAGUCUGGUUACCCACUGAAGCUAAGCAGGGCUGAGCCUGGUCAGUACCUGGAUGGGAGACCGCAUAGGAAAAGUAGGUUGCUGUUGGAA
rfam:Danio rerio chromosome 8, GRCz11 reference primary assembly.